AACGCGAAGAACCUUACCUGGUCUUGACAUCCACGGAAGUUUUCAGAGAUGAGAAUGUGCCUUCGGGAACCGUGAGACAGGUGCUGCAUGGCUGUCGUCAGCUCGUGUUGUGAAAUGUUGGGUUAAGUCCCGCAACGAGCGCAACCCUUAUCCUUUGUUGCCAGCGGUCCGGCCGGGAACUCAAAGGAGACUGCCAGUGAUAAACUGGAGGAAGGUGGGGAUGACGUCAAGUCAUCAUGGCCCUUACGACCAGGGCUACACACGUGCUACAAUGGCCGGUACAAAGGGCUGCAAAACCGCAAGGUGGAGCGAAUCCCAAAAAGCCGGUCUCAGUUCGGAUUGGGGUCUGCAACUCGACCCCAUGAAGUCGGAAUCGCUAGUAAUCGCGGAUCAGAAUGCCGCGGUGAAUACGUUCCCGGGUCUUGUACACACCG
rnacentral:rRNA from 1 species